CUCUCGUGUCCCCAGGACACGCUAGGCUCCUGGCAGCGCUGUGUGACCACGUGUGAGACAGCCCUGAAGCAAGGGAAACGGGUCGCCAUCGACAACACAAACCCAGACGCCGCGAGCCGCGCCAGGUAGCGUGACCGCGGGGCCGUAGGUGGCCUGCGGCGGGGUGGGCGGGGCCUGCACAUCCAGCUCCUUCCCCCACAGGUACGUCCAGUGUGCCCGAGCCGCGGGCGUCCCCUGCCGCUGCUUCCUCUUCACCGCCACUCUGGAGCAGGCGCGCCACAACAACCGGUUUCGAGAGAUGACGGACUCCUCUCAUAUCCCCGUGUCAGACAUGGUCAUGUAUGGCUACAGGAAGCAGUUCGAGGCCCCAACGCUGGCUGAAGGCUUCUCUGCCAUCCUGGAGAUCCCGUUCCGGCUAUGGGUGGAGCCGAGGCUGGGGCGGCUGUACUGCCAGUUCUCCGAGGGCUGAGCCCCGCCCAGCUCCCCUCCACAAUAAACGCUGUUUCUCCUUGA
rnacentral:lncRNA from 1 species